UGUACCUACGGGGCGCAGCAGUGGGGGAUAUUGCACAAUGGGGGGAACCCUGAUGCAGCGACGCCGCGUGGGUGAAGGAGCGUUUCGGCGCGUAAAGCCCUAUCGGCAGGGAAGAAGGAGGACGGUACCUGACUAAGAAGCCCCGGCUAACUACGUGCCAGCCGCCGCGGUAAUACGUAGGGGGCAAGCGUUAUCCGGGUUUACUGGGUGUAAAGGGGGCGCAGACGGCAGCGCCAGCCAGGAGUGAAAGCCCGGGGCCCAACCCCGGGACUGCUCUUGGAACUGCGCGGCUGGAGUGCCGGGGG
rnacentral:rRNA from 1 species